rnacentral:rRNA from 1 species
AGAUUGAACGCUGGCGGCGUGCCUAACACAUGCAAGUCGAGCGGUAACAGGUGUAGCAAUACAUGCUGACGAGCGGCGAACGGGUGAGUAAUGCUUUGGAAUCUUCCCAGUAGUGGGGAAUAACCAGUCGAAAGAUUGGCUAAUACCGCAUACGUCUGUAAAGGGAAAGCGGGGGCUCGUAAGACCUCGCGCUAUUGGAUGAGCCAAAGUCGGAUUAGCUAGUUGGUGGGGUAAUGGCCUACCAAGGCGACAAUCCGUAGCUGGUCUGAGAGGACGACCAGCCACACCGGAACUGAGACACGGUCCGGACUCCUACGGGAGGCAGCAGUGGGGGAAUAUUGGACAAUGGGGGAAACCCUGAUCCAGCGACGCCGCGUGUGUGAAGAAGGCCUGCGGGUUGUAAAGCACUUUUAGUGGGGACAAAAAGCUACGGAUUAAUACUCUGUGGUCUUGAUUUAACCCAAAGAAAAGCACCGGCUAACUCUGCGCCAGCAGCCGCGGU